AUGGGCGCGAAAUACGAAUUUGAAUUGUAGUUUGAUGGAAAUCUUACAAUAGUUUGCCUUACAAAAUUAAUUUCUUUUUCUAGAAUUUUGAAAACACUGAAAAUACCGAAAUUGAAAAUACAUUGGGUUUUAAAGAGAACAAUUCAGAUAUAUCAACUGCAUCAAUAAAUAAUAAUAUAUUAAAGGAUAUUACGUAUAAAAGAAAUGUUGACUUAAAUACAAAAAAAUGUGUUCAAGUAAAGUCAUAAAUUAAUUGCAACAAAGAGCUAUUAAUAUCUAAAUCACGUCAGUAUAUUUAUAUUUAGUUCUAAAGUCAAAUAUUUUUCAAAAAUAACUUUUUAAUGAAAAAUGUUGAUCUUUUACAGAAUCAGUGGAGCCUUGUGUUUUCAUAUCAGAUGAAUCAGUCAAUGGAGAAGCCAAUGAAGAUACAAAUAUAAACAACACAAAAUUAAAAAAUCAAAAUAUAAAAUCAACUAUAACAAUAGCAGUAACACAUAGUAAUAUUUAUUUGUAUAGUAAAUUGUUUUUAUAUAAUAAAUAUAUUGUAUUACUUAAUAAAUAAAUUAUAUUUUAGAAGGUAUUAAGAAAUGCAGACAAAACACAUCUCACAGUCAGCAACUACAAAAAAAGUAUAUUAAAAAGUAUAUAAAGCGUACUACAAAAAAAGGAUAUUUUGAAAAUACUCUUUCGUAUACAAAAUGUCUAAGCACAAAUAUGGAGAAUGAUAUGAAGAUGCGUAAAGAAUAUUAUAAUAAAAAACUUAAAUUUAUGGAACGUGAUGUUAUAGCAAAAGAACGAAUUGCUGCGGCUAUUGAAACUUUUUUGCAAUAAAUCAAGAAAAUGUAACUUACGAAGAAGUAGAAAAUUUGGAAGACACAGGUUAUUAGUUUAGAAGAAAAAUGUUUAUUAGUACAAUGUUUAUUUUUUUUAAUGUUUAUUUUUUAUUUUAAACUGAUCAAAAUUGCUAUGCCAAAGCUGCACAUAACUGAUAAUUGUUAAUACAUAAGUUGUGCAAUAUUAAAUGUAUUAUGUGUUAUGUGUUCAUUAUAUGUGUGUACAAAAUAUGAUUAUAAGCAAAAUAAAAUUAAACAAAAUGUUA
rnacentral:lncRNA from 13 species